rnacentral:rRNA from 1 species
CUUGCACCUUAUCUUAGCGGCGGACGGGUGAGUAAUGCUUAGGAAUCUGCCAUUUAGUGGGGGACAACAUUCCGAAAGGAAUGCUAAUACCGCAUACGUCCUACGGGAGAAAGCAGGGGAUCUUCGGACCUUGCGCUAAAUGAUGAGCCUAAGUCGGAUUAGCUAGUUGGUGGGGUAAAGGCCUACCAAGGCGACGAUCUGUAGCGGGUCUGAGAGGAUGAUCCGCCACACUGGGACUGAGACACGGCCCAGACUCCUACGGGAGGCAGCAGUGGGGAAUAUUGGACAAUGGGCGGAAGCCUGAUCCAGCCAUGCCGCGUGUGUGAAGAAGGCCUUUUGGUUGUAAAGCACUUUAAGCGAGGAGGAGGCUACUAGUACUAAUACUACUGGAUAGUGGACGUUACUCGCAGAAUAAGCACCGGCUAACUCUGUGCCAGCAGCCGCGGUAAUACAGAGGGUGCGAGCGUUAAUCGGAUUUACUGGGCGUAAAGCGUGCGUAGGCGGCUUUUUAAGUCGGAUGUGAAAUCCCCGAGCUUAACUUGGGAAUUGCAUUCGAUACUGGGAAGCUAGAGUAUGGGAGAGGAUUGGUAGAAUUCCAGGUGUAGCGGUGAAAUGCGUAG